rnacentral:rRNA from 1 species
UACGGAGGAUGCAAGCGUUAUCCGGAAUGAUUGGGCGUAAAGCGUCCGCAGGUGGCUAUGUAAGUCUGCUGUUAAAGAGUCUAGCUCAACUAGAUAAGAGCAGUGGAAACUACAAGGCUAGAGUACGUUCGGGGCAGAGGGAAUUCCUGGUGUAGCGGUGAAAUGCGUAGAGAUCAGGAAGAACACCAGUGGCGAAGGCGGUUCUCUGGGACGGUACUGACGCUGAGACGCGAAAGCGUGGGGAGCGAACAGG